rnacentral:piRNA from 1 species
AAUCUGGAACCGGGCAUUAUUUG